AUGGCCAGACUGAGCGGAAGAUCCAGGAACUCAGACAGUACCUCCGGGCAUACUGCCGAGAAGACCAGCACAGCUGGAACAGCUUUCUUCCUUGGGCCGAGUAUGCAGAAAACUCCCUCCGACAGAACACCACCGGCCUCACGCACUUCCAGUGCAUACUCUGCUACCAACCUCCACUCUUCCCAUGGACCGGGGAACCAUUGGAAGUUCCAGCUGUGGACCACUGAUUCCAGGCAAGGGAGUGUGGGACUCAGCCCAUAUCUAUCUCCAACAGGCGGUACAGAGACACAAAACCUUCGCCAAUGCCCGGCAUGCCUCCACUCCCGUUUACCACCCAGGAGAAAAGAACCCUCCUCCGGAGAUACUGGACCAACCCUCCAUUUAUCAAGUCAAGGACAUCUUGGACUCGCGGUGACUGGGUGGCCGGCUCAAAUACCUGGUCAACUGGGAAGGAUAUGGACCAGAAGAAUGUUCCUGGGUCGCCCUUGUCGUUGCAUCAGGGUGUCAGGAGCCACCCCUGGAGGAGGGGGUAGUGUCAGGGAAUCAUCACCAUCACAGCCACCUCCAUCACCGUCACCUGGUCCCAAUCCCCCCCAAUCCCAAUUGCCGGAGUACUGAUCACCGGCACUCAAUAACCAAACCCAGUAUAGUCACCCUCACUUCAGUGUGUCGGUGUCCAAUCUACCCUUCACUACACCGUACAGUACUCUCUCUACUCUAACAUGUUUAUUAUACCUCCAGACCCCCUGACGAACCUCCUGUGGUUCUCUCUUGUCCUCCCAGUUUCCUGGUACCCGUCUCGAUAUCCUGCCUCCAAGAUCCAUUUUCUUCCAGGGAUUGUCACUGGACUGUUUCCAUUCUCACUUGCCAUUCACUCUGCUAUUCAAUUCUGUUUAAUAAAACCCUGUCAUUUCACUAACCUCCCGUCUGUACCCUGAUUUGUGACAACUAGCUGAUGAGAACUAAUCUCAGUGCAUCAUUCUGCCUUCCACUAUUCCUCUGUUUAAAUUGAAGUAACACAUUUUUUCCAUUGUAAUUACUGCUCGGCAUCAAGUUCUGGCUUACAAACCAAUUUUUUUUAUUUAUUUUUUUUAACUACAAUUUAAGUUCCUACACCACAUUCUAAAAGAAAAUAAUUUGAGCAUUAGCAGUGCUUUAAUUCUUUUGUAUUUCCGUCAAAUGUUUUCCAUC
ensembl:lncRNA